rnacentral:rRNA from 1 species
UCCGGNNGAUCCNGCCGGAGGGNACCGCUUUCGAGGNNCGACNAAGCCAUGCGAGUCGAAUGCCGCAAGGCAUGGCGUACUGCUCAGUAACACGUGGACAACCUACCCUUAGGACUGGGAUAACCCCGGGAAACUGGGAAUAAUCCCCGAUAGUCCUCGAAGGCUGGAAUGCAUCGAGGGCGAAAGCUCCGGCGCCUAAGGAUGGGUCUGCGGCCUAUCAGGUAGUAGUGGGUGUAGCGUACCUACUAGCCUACGACGGGUACGGGUUGUGAGAGCAAGAGCCCGGAGAUGGAUUCUGAGACACGAAUCCAGGCCCUACGGGGUGCAGCAGGCGCGAAAACUUUACAAUGCUGGCAACAGCGAUAAGGGAACCUCGAGUGCCAGGUUACAAAUCUGGCUGUCGAGAUGCCUAAAAAGCAUUUCAUAGCAAGGGCCGGGCAAGACCGGUGCCAGCCGCCGCGGUAACACCGGCGGCUCGAGUGGUAACCGUUAUUAUUGGGUCUAAAGGGUCUGUAGCCGGCCGGAUAAGUCUCUUGGGAAAUCUGGCAGCUCAACUGUCAGGCUAUCAGGAGAUACUGUCUGGCUCGAGGCCGGGAGAGGUGAGAGGUACUUCAGGGGUAGGGGUGAAAUCUUGUAAUCCUUGAAGGACCACCAGUGGCGAAGGCGUCUCACCAGAACGGACCUGACGGCAAGGGACGAAAGCUAGGGGCACGAACCGGAUUAGAUACCCGGGUAGUCCUAGCCGUAAACGAUACUCG